UACGGGGGGGUAAGCGUUGUUCGGAAUUACUGGGCGUAAAGGGCUCGUAGGCGGCCAACUAAGUCAUACGUGAAAUCCCUCAGCUUAACUGGGGAACUGCGUGUGAUACUGGAUGGCUUGGAUUUGGGAGAGGGAGUGCGGAAUUCCUGGUGUAGCGGUGAAAUGCGCAGAUAUCAGGAGGAACACCGGUGGCGAAGGCGGAUCUCUGGGCCUUACCUGACGCUGAGGCGCGAAAGCUAGGGGAGCGAACAGG
rnacentral:rRNA from 1 species